CACACAUUUUUUAUUCUUGAAGCAAAUGACAUUACAUAUAAUUCAUUAAAUAAAAGGUACUAAAUCAUGUCAUUGUAGGUCCAAAUACAUGUAAAAAGCCUAGGUUUUUUUUUUGACUAACAAAAAAAAAAGCCUAGGUUAUAACAUGAUGAUCAACUCAUUCUCACGAGCGAAACAAUAAUAAGAGCGUACCGAGGGGAGCUUACGUACAAGUAUUCCCCCACUAUCUUUGCGUACCUUUCAAAAAGUUCGUCCAUCACGU
rnacentral:lncRNA from 1 species